rnacentral:rRNA from 1 species
UAGGGAAUCUUCGGCAAUGGGGGGAACCCUGACCGAGCAACGCCGCGUGAGUGAAGAAGGUUUUCGGAUCGUAAAGCUCUGUUGUUAAGGAAGAACGAGUGUGAGAAUGGAAAGUUCAUACUGUGACGGUACUUAACCAGAAAGGGACGGCUAACUCCGUGCCAGCAGCCGCGGUAAUACGGAGGAUACGAGCGUUAUCCGGAUUUAUUGGGUUUAAAGGGUGCGUAGGUGGCUGAUUAAGUCAGUGGUGAAAAGCUAUGGCUCAACCAUAGUCUUGCCGUUGAUACUGGUUAGCUUGAGUGUAGAUGAUGUAGGCGGAACGUGUAGUGUAGCGGUGAAAUGCAUAGAUAUUACGCAGAACUCCGAUUGCGAAGGCAGCUUACAAAACUACUACUGACACUGAGGCACGAAAGCGUGGGUAUCAAACAGG